rnacentral:rRNA from 1 species
GGGUUGUGAGGUUAAGCGACUAAGCGUACACGGUGGAUGCCCUGGCAGUCAGAGGCGAUGAAGGACGUGCUAAUCUGCGAUAAGCGUCGGUAAGGUGAUAUGAACCGUUAUAACCGGCGAUUUCCGAAUGGGGAAACCCAGUGUGAUUCGUCACACUAUCAUUAACUGAAUCCAUAGGUUAAUGAGGCGAACCGGGGGAACUGAAACAUCUAAGUACCCCGAGGAAAAGAAAUCAACCGAGAUUCCCCCAGUAGCGGCGAGCGAACGGGGAGCAGCCCAGAGCCUGAAUCAGUAUGUGUGUUAGUGGAAGCGUCUGGAAAGGCGCGCGAUACAGGGUGACAGCCCCGUACACAAAAAUGCACAUGCUGUGAGCUCGAUGAGUAGGGCGGGACACGUGGUAUCCUGUCUGAAUAUGGGGGGACCAUCCUCCAAGGCUAAAUACUCCUGACUGACCGAUAGUGAACCAGUACCGUGAGGGAAAGGCGAAAAGAACCCCGGCGAGGGGAGUGAAAAAGAACCUGAAACCGUGUACGUACAAGCAGUGGGAGCACAGAGCAAUCUGUGUGACUGCGUACCUUUUGUAUAAUGGGUCAGCGACUUAUAUUCUGUAGCAAGGUUAACCGAAUAGGGGAGCCGAAGGGAAACCGAGUCUUAACUGGGCGUUAAGUUGCAGGGUAUAGACCCGAAACCCGGUGAUCUAGCCAUGGGCAGGUUGAAGGUUGGGUAACACUAACUGGAGGACCGAACCGACUAAUGUUGAAAAAUUAGCGGAUGACUUGUGGCUGGGGGUGAAAGGCCAAUCAAACCGGGAGAUAGCUGGUUCUCCCCGAAAGCUAUUUAGGUAGCGCCUCGUGAAUUCAUCUCCGGGGGUAGAGCACUGUUUCGGCAAGGGGGUCAUCCCGACUUACCAACCCGAUGCAAACUGCGAAUACCGGAGAAUGUUAUCACGGGAGACACACGGCGGGUGCUAACGUCCGUCGUGAAGAGGGAAACAACCCAGACCGCCAGCUAAGGUCCCAAAGUCAUGGUUAAGUGGGAAACGAUGUGGGAAGGCCCAGACAGCCAGGAUGUUGGCUUAGAAGCAGCCAUCAUUUAAAGAAAGCGUAAUAGCUCACUGGUCGAGUCGGCCUGCGCGGAAGAUGUAACGGGGCUAAACCAUGCACCGAAGCUGCGGCAGCGACGCUGAUGCGUUGUUGGGUAGGGGAGCGUUCUGUAAGCCUGUGAAGGUGUGCUGUGAGGCAUGCUGGAGGUAUCAGAAGUGCGAAUGCUGACAUAAGUAACGAUAAAGCGGGUGAAAAGCCCGCUCGCCGGAAGACCAAGGGUUCCUGUCCAACGUUAAUCGGGGCAGGGUGAGUCGACCCCUAAGGCGAGGCCGAAAGGCGUAGUCGAUGGGAAACAGGUUAAUAUUCCUGUACUUGGUGUUACUGCGAAGGGGGGACGGAGAAGGCUAUGUUGGCCGGGCGACGGUUGUCCCGGUUUAAGCGUGUAGGCUGGUUUUCCAGGCAAAUCCGGAAAAUCAAGGCUGAGGCGUGAUGACGAGGCACUACGGUGCUGAAGCAACAAAUGCCCUGCUUCCAGGAAAAGCCUCUAAGCAUCAGGUAACAUCAAAUCGUACCCCAAACCGACACAGGUGGUCAGGUAGAGAAUACCAAGGCGCUUGAGAGAACUCGGGUGAAGGAACUAGGCAAAAUGGUGCCGUAACUUCGGGAGAAGGCACGCUGAUAUGUAGGUGAAGUCCCUCGCGGAUGGAGCUGAAAUCAGUCGAAGAUACCAGCUGGCUGCAACUGUUUAUUAAAAACACAGCACUGUGCAAACACGAAAGUGGACGUAUACGGUGUGACGCCUGCCCGGUGCCGGAAGGUUAAUUGAUGGGGUCAGCGCAAGCGAAGCUCUUGAUCGAAGCCCCGGUAAACGGCGGCCGUAACUAUAACGGUCCUAAGGUAGCGAAAUUCCUUGUCGGGUAAGUUCCGACCUGCACGAAUGGCGUAAUGAUGGCCAGGCUGUCUCCACCCGAGACUCAGUGAAAUUGAACUCGCUGUGAAGAUGCAGUGUACCCGCGGCAAGACGGAAAGACCCCGUGAACCUUUACUAUAGCUUGACACUGAACAUUGAGCCUUGAUGUGUAGGAUAGGUGGGAGGCUUGGAAGUGUGGACGCCAGUCUGCAUGGAGCCGACCUUGAAAUACCACCCUUUAAUGUUUGAUGUUCUAACGUUGACCCGUAAUCCGGGUUGCGGACAGUGUCUGGUGGGUAGUUUGACUGGGGCGGUCUCCUCCUAAAGAGUAACGGAGGAGCACGAAGGUUGGCUAAUCCUGGUCGGACAUCAGGAGGUUAGUGCAAUGGCAUAAGCCAGCUUGACUGCGAGCGUGACGGCGCGAGCAGGUGCGAAAGCAGGUCAUAGUGAUCCGGUGGUUCUGAAUGGAAGGGCCAUCGCUCAACGGAUAAAAGGUACUCCGGGGAUAACAGGCUGAUACCGCCCAAGAGUUCAUAUCGACGGCGGUGUUUGGCACCUCGAUGUCGGCUCAUCACAUCCUGGGGCUGAAGUAGGUCCCAAGGGUAUGGCUGUUCGCCAUUUAAAGUGGUACGCGAGCUGGGUUUAGAACGUCGUGAGACAGUUCGGUCCCUAUCUGCCGUGGGCGCUGGAGAACUGAGGGGGGCUGCUCCUAGUACGAGAGGACCGGAGUGGACGCAUCACUGGUGUUCGGGUUGUCAUGCCAAUGGCACUGCCCGGUAGCUAAAUGCGGAAGAGAUAAGUGCUGAAAGCAUCUAAGCACGAAACUUGCCCCGAGAUGAGUUCUCCCUGACUCCUUGAGAGUCCUGAAGGAACGUUGAAGACGACGACGUUGAUAGGCCGGGUGUGUAAGCGCAGCGAUGCGUUGAGCUAACCGGUACUAAUGAACCGUGAGGCUUAACCUUACAACGCCGAAGGUGUUU